rnacentral:rRNA from 1 species
ACACAUGCAAGUCGAACGGUAACAGGAAGCAGCUUGCUGCUUUGCUGACGAGUGGCGGACGGGUGAGUAAUGUCUGGGAAACUGCCUGAUGGAGGGGGAUAACUACUGGAAACGGUAGCUAAUACCGCAUAACGUCGCAAGACCAAAGAGGGGGACCUUCGGGCCUCUUGCCAUCGGAUGUGCCCAGAUGGGAUUAGCUAGUAGGUGGGGUAACGGCUCACCUAGGCGACGAUCCCUAGCUGGUCUGAGAGGAUGACCAGCCACACUGGAACUGAGACACGGUCCAGACUCCUACGGGAGGCAGCAGUGGGGAAUAUUGCACAAUGGGCGCAAGCCUGAUGCAGCCAUGCCGCGUGUAUGAAGAAGGCCUUCGGGUUGUAAAGUACUUUCAGCGGGGAGGAAGGGAGUAAAGUUAAUACCUUUGCUCAUUGACGUUACCCGCAGAAGAAGCACCGGCUAACUCCGUGCCAGCAGCCGCGGUAAUACGGAGGGUGCAAGCGUUAAUCGGAAUUACUGGGCGUAAAGCGCACGCAGGCGGUUUGUUAAGUCAGAUGUGAAAUCCCCGGGCUCAACCUGGGAACUGCAUCUGAUACUGGCAAGCUUGAGUCUCGUAGAGGGGGGUAGAAUUCCAGGUGUAGCGGUGAAAUGCGUAGAGAUCUGGAGGAAUACCGGUGGCGAAGGCGGCCCCCUGGACGAAGACUGACGCUCAGGUGCGAAAGCGUGGGGAGCAAACAGGAUUAGAUACCCUGGUAGUCCACGCCGUAAACGAUGUCGACUUGGAGGUUGUGCCCUUGAGGCGUGGCUUCCGGAGCUAACGCGUUAAGUCGACCGCCUGGGGAGUACGGCCGCAAGGUUAAAACUCAAAUGAAUUGACGGGGGCCCGCACAAGCGGUGGAGCAUGUGGUUUAAUUCGAUGCAACGCGAAGAACCUUACCUGGUCUUGACAUCCACGGAAGUUUUCAGAGAUGAGAAUGUGCCUUCGGGAACCGUGAGACAGGUGCUGCAUGGCUGUCGUCAGCUCGUGUUGUGAAAUGUUGGGUUAAGUCCCGCAACGAGCGCAACCCUUAUCCUUUGUUGCCAGCGGUCCGGCCGGGAACUCAAAGGAGACUGCCAGUGAUAAACUGGAGGAAGGUGGGGAUGACGUCAAGUCAUCAUGGCCCUUACGACCAGGGCUACACACGUGCUACAAUGGCGCAUACAAAGAGAAGCGACCUCGCGAGAGCAAGCGGACCUCAUAAAGUGCGUCGUAGUCCGGAUUGGAGUCUGCAACUCGACUCCAUGAAGUCGGAAUCGCUAGUAAUCGUGGAUCAGAAUGCCACGGUGAAUACGUUCCCGGGCCUUGUACACACCGCCCGUCACACCAUGGGAGUGGGUUGCAAAAGAAGUAGGUAGCUUAACCUUCGGGAGGGCGCUUACCACUUUGUGAUUCAUGACUGGGGUGAAGUCGUAACAAGGUAACCGUAGGGGAACCUGCGGUUGGAUCACCUCCUUACCUUAAAGAAGC